rnacentral:lncRNA from 1 species
ACAUGUAAUUAUAAUGAACACCACGCUUCAUAAGAUGUUAGGAGAGUUUUAUUUUCGGAUUUUAUUGUCAAUUAGUGUGCAAGAAACUAAAAUAAAAAACAAUAGUGAUCAUGGAGCUGAGCACUUACCUCAAGGCGGAUUUUGUAUCCACGGGCUUGUGUGUGUGUGUGUGUCACUGACUGUAUGAGGUCAAGAGUUUGUCCUGCCUUCGCCCUUUCAUCCGCGGCCACGCAAGUUUGAAGCUCAGCAGACACACACACACAAACACCUGGACAACCGUCUCCGUACCUGGAGCAUUCCGUUGACGUCAGCCCCGGGGCGGGCACGAGGUGAGGUAAAUCAAAGCGUUGGGCAGACAGACCGAGAGAGAGCGAGAGGCACGAUCGCACUAGAAGUUUAUGUCUGCCUGUACUCUCGAUUGGCACAGGUCCUCCAUUAACAGCUGAAUAUCUGAAACUGGUUUUGUGAACCUUGCGUUAUACAUGCCACAUUAAAAAUGGUCGAUAGCGAUAUUCUUCAGAGGUAGUCUGUCCGUUGUAGCUCCGAGCGCGGAACUGUUUUUGAAAACUACUCCUUCGGGUGCGUUCCCUACGCAGGUUAUAUGAACUGGAUGUUCAGAGCGCGAGGGAAGAGGAGAGCUGGAUAUGUGGAAGUCGUUUGUCCCCGCGCGCAAGCUGCUGCGUAGCGGGAAAUACCUGUUGCUGGUGCUGCUGUUCUUCUGUGCGCUGGGGGCUUACCUGCAGUUCGCCACCACCAAUGACAUGGACACAAUCCAAUCCAGUGUCCACAUUGACAUACCUGGGAUAAGAGCUGCAGCAAGAAGGGAGCCACUCCGAGUGCACAACUCUGAUGUGGACACAGAGGAAUCCUGGAGAACACACACUCCUCCAGCAUGGAGUCCACAGCACAAGGGCCAAGCCAACCUGCACAUCUUUGAGGACUGGUGUGGCAGCUCCAUCAAGCAACUCAGAAAGAAUCUACAUUACCCUCUUUACCCUCAUGUAAGUUAAACCCCCUUCUUUCUCUCAGCUACACACACAUACACAGACACACAUACACACACACACACACACACACACACACACACAUACACACACACACACACACACACACACACACACAUAUGCGCACGCACACCACACACACACACACACACACACAU